UACCAGCACCCCGAGUGGUCGGGACGAUUAUUGGGCCUAAAGCAUCCGUAGCCGGUUCUACAAGUCUUCCGUUAAAUCCACCUGCUCAACAGUUGGGCUGCGGAGGAUACUAUAGAGCUAGGAGGCGGGAGAGGCAAGCGGUACUUAGUGGGUAGGGGUAAAAUCCGUUGAUCCAUUGAAGACCACCAGUGGCGAAGGCGGCUCUCUGGACGGUGACUGACGCUGAGACGCGAAAGCGUGGGGAGCAAACAGG
rnacentral:rRNA from 1 species